UAUUCCACAGGAGAGGAAGUUGAGCAGAUUAAUAGUUACCUUUCGAGACUGGCCAACACUACAAAGUACAUGUUACCCGAGUCAAGAGAAGAACUCAUAACUGAACAUGCUCUUGCGUGGAAUAAACGGAAAAUAUGUGAUCUGUCCAGCUCCCUCUGCAAGAGAUAUGCAAAGUAUAUAGAAGCUCAAGAAAAUACAAGGAAAGAACUUGAUGAAAUGGUUUCUGGCGUAAAUCUCUCUC